rnacentral:rRNA from 1 species
GACGAACGCUGGCGGCGUGCCUAAUACAUGCAAGUCGAGCGCGGGAAGCUUGCGGAAUCCUUCGGGAGGAAGUGAGUGGACCGAGCGGCGGACGGGUGAGUAACACGUGGGCAACCUGCCCGUAAGACGGGGAUAACCCCGGGAAACCGGGGCUAUACCGGAUAGGUGACCUUUCUGCAUGGAGGGGUCAUGAAAGGCGGCGGAAGCCGUCGCUUACGGAGGGGCCCGCGGCGCAUUAGCUAGUUGGUGAGGGAAGGGCUCACCAAGGCGACGAUGCGUAGCCGGCCUGAGAGGGUGAACGGCCACACUGGGACUGAGACACGGCCCAGACUCCUACGGGAGGCAGCAGUAGGGAAUCUUCCGCAAUGGACGGAAGUCUGACGGAGCAACGCCGCGUGAGUGAGGAAGGCCUUCGGGUCGUAAAGCUCUGUUGUUCGUGAAGAAGGGGUUGGCCAGGAAAUGGGCCGACAUUGACGGUAGCGAACCAGAAAGCCCCGGCUAACUACGUGCCAGCAGCCGCGGUAACACGUAGGGGGCAAGCGUUGUCCGGAAUGAUUGGGCGUAAAGGGCGCGCAGGCGGCCUCUUAAGUCUGAUGUGAAAGCCCACGGCUCAACCGUGGAGGGACAUUGGAAACUGGGGGGCUUGAGUGCAGGAGAGGGGAGUGGAAUUCCACGUGUAGCGGUGAAAUGCGUAGAGAUGUGGAGGAACACCAGUGGCGAAGGCGGCUCUCUGGCCUGUGACUGACGCUGAGGCGCGAAAGCGUGGGGAGCGAACAGGAUUAGAUACCCUGGUAGUCCACGCCGUA